UACGUAGGGUGCAAGCGUUGUCCGGAAUUAUUGGGCGUAAAGAGCUCGUAGGCGGUUUGUUGCGUCGGCUGUGAAAUCCCGGAGGCUCAACCUCGGGUCUGCAGUCGAUACGAGCAAACUAGAGUGUUGCAGGGGAGGCUGGAAUUCCCGGGUGUAGUGGUGAAAUGCGUAGAUAUCGGGAGGAACACCAGUGGCGAAGGCGACUUCCUGGCCUGUUCUUGACGCUGAGGC
rnacentral:rRNA from 1 species